ACAUGGAUUUCCAAGUGUCGCAAGUAGAGGAGAAAUGGAGAAAAUGGAAAGCAAAGAAUGGAUGAAAAUUGUAAAUCAGCAGUUUCGAACUUUUCAAAAAUUUGUUAAAAAUAUUAAUUUUUCAAUUUAAUUGAAUUUUGUUUUACAAGGUGGAUACUAUGGAGGAAAAAACAAGAUAUGUAUGGAAAAGGUAGCGAUCGCAAAGGAAAAAAAAUAUUAGAAAAGGAAAUGGAAUGAAAUUAAUUGAACGAAAUGAAAA